GCGGCAGCCCGUCCACUGUCACCAUCACCAUGUUCGUCUCCACGGCGGCGAGAUCCACGGAGCAGAUAGGGGACGCCAGCUCCUGGAGCCCUGGGCCCAGGUCCCGUGGUCCCAUCGCGGUGCCUGGAAAGCAGGUUCCCACCAGAAAUGCUGAGCAGCUCGUGCUGGCCCCAGGGGCCCUCCUGACUGAGCCCAACAGAAAUCCAGAUGGCUCAGGACCCCACUGAUGUUGUCCCAGCCCCGCCUCCAGCACCAAGGAGAGAAACACGGAGGGAGGGGCUGGAGGGCAGAGUCACCCGACACCGCUCACCAGAGA